GUUAAUUUCAUUGAAUAAAAAGUAAGUCAAAUUGCAGUGAAGGAGGUGCAACAAUAAUCGAUAUGUUUUAUAGUCUGUCUUUUCAUUUUAAAUACUGCUAAUAACAUACCCUUAUGCAGGAAACAAUUUCCCUAAGAAAUCUGGAAGAGAAAGCAAACAAUGCGCUGAUUUGCAGCCAAGUUUGUUGUAUAUUAUAUUUCUGUUAACAAAAUAAUAUCAAAGUUUUUAACGACAGAUACUUCCCAUUGUGUUUGUAUGUACUUCUCAAAGGCCAUAGCUGACGGUGGAGGUGUUACCAUCUCUACAAAUAGUCAAACGCAUUCAAUGCAACAAAAUCUUCGGCAACAAUACCACCAAGUCAGUGAUGCAAGUGGAAGUUUUGCCAUUCAAGAGUUGACCGCUAACGCAUUUCUCCCAGCAGAUGAGUGUUGGUGUUGGAACGACCUAGCAGCAACUGCCAACUGAUCGCACUGGCUUAACGGUGGUAAUCAUUCGGAGCCAAAUGGGCUGGCCCGACAAGAAUCCCCUAAAGGCCAAAUACAUUAAGAUCAGUCCCUUGGCAGCUACUGACGAUGUCAGCGAGUUGAAUCCAUCGAUUUUCACACAGAAAAUCAACAUCAAAUACAUCUCGACAAUAAAGCGUGAAAAACCUCUAUCCGUAGCGGAGUGUUUGUGUGUCAAGCGAUCUCUGCGUUGUCGAAUACAAUGUCAUCAAGCCGGUGUACCAUCCAGUAUCCAUCCAGUAUCCAUCAAGUUUCGUUUUAAAGUGUUUGCCAACUGCCAUGUGCCCGACGUUCUGGUCGUGCGUUGUGAAAAGCCAAUCGAUCCUCAAACUAACUAACCCAACAAUGCACGAUAUGAACACAACCAUUAUGAAACUGCCAACACUGGAAGAGGAGCGGCAAAUGAUCGAUUUCGAAUAAAAGGUGACCGUGCCUGCAGCAACAUCGACGCCAUCAUUGAACACGAGUCUAUCGAGGCAUACAUCACUGACCAAUUAACUUCGAUAUGUUAAGAGUCCCACCUACGCCAUUCUAGAGAUGUUGAUUCGUUUGUCUUAAAUCAGCGUAACGAUUCAGGAUUUCAAGUUCAAUGAUAGGAACCAAAAUUCACCACUUGGAGAAAGUCCAAUAAAGUAACAAACAAAUUGAACUUUACACCUGAAGAAGGACUCAAACUAGGCCAUAAUGUUACCCUUAGUUUCUUGAUUUAAUAUACUUAUGUGAAUGCAGUCACAAACACGUAAAAACUGGUCAAUUUGAAGCCUCGAUUUAUUUCUAUAUCUAGAAAAUAAUCUUUUUUGCAAACAACUUUUUUAUUUAUUUUGAGCUAUAGUUUAAUUUUUAUAUAUUAUAUAUUUUACUGUUUCUUUGCUGACUAGCAUAAUUUGUAUUCAAAAUUAUUUAUGCUCUACUUUACCUAUGCGCAGUUUUAAUAAUAUAGGAACAGCUUUUAUCUAAUUAAGAUGUUUUUUAUUUUGAAUUUAAAGAUGUUGGUGCUUUUUGCUUCAGGGGUUGAAUUCGGUUGAA